rnacentral:pre_miRNA from 1 species
UUUAUUUCAUGUCCAAUACAGUGUUGACAUACAGUCGAGAGGAUGAUCUCUCCGCCUGCGUAUCAGUACUGUAUUGGGCAUGAAGUGAA